rnacentral:lncRNA from 1 species
CUCAACUUGAGAAUUCCUGGCCACAUUACCCGUAUGUCUAAUGAUCGCACAGUACAACCUUGAGAAGCUUGUAAUGAGUACACAACUGGGUGCAAGUAGUUUUGAAAUGAAUUUGCCUCAAAUGAUUUCUUGCCGGUGAUUAAUAUAACCUCUAUUCCAAAAUUCUUGGAACUGGUCAUACUAGCAAUGAAGGAUUGCAUACAUUGAAGACAUAGCUGAAGGCCUUGCGAGAGCUCUGUCAGCCCUUGUACCGGAAAACAGCUGGUCGUAGUCGCUUGUGAAUGAUAUGAUUAAUAGAUACUGCAAAAAUGAAUUGUGCCAUACAUUUUCAGCGCUCUGUGAAGAUGUCUUGGUCAUUUGUUUGAUGCUUGUUUGAUUUAUGUUGUAUUCAGCCAUAAAUCAGAGAUUCAGAACUUGGGUAUGUUUCUGGUUUCCAAAUCAAAAAAUUGCCUUGUGAUGUUAGUGUUCACUGUUUUCACAGGAGAUCAGGUUCCUUGUUAAUGAAUCAAGAAGAAGGCAAGCGCAUCCAUGUCCAAGUUCAAAUGUGUCUCCUCUAUUUUCUAUUACCCACUCAUUUAUUUUGAUUUCUUCAUUGUAAUUGAAUUAGUUUUUUAUUCCAAAUUAGUCAAAACCUCGUAGAGUCAUUAAGUUCUUUUAGCAUUUAAAGACAGAACUACGAACCAAAUGAUUUAAGUUCUUCGUUGUAAUUGAAUUUGCUUUCCCAUCUUUAAAGAUAUUAUGUUCUUUUUCACUUUUUCGAUUUGGUUAGUGGUGAUUUCUUAAAGACUCAAUCCAUUUGCGUUAAUACAUUUUUCUUUUGCCUUGAUUUCUGUUUCUUGGGGAGUUUAUACAUAUUCUUAUUUUAUGCUACACAUGCCAUAUACAGAUUCUUAUUUUAUGCUUCACAUGCCACAUGAAAGGUCAAAGCCUUGUGUGUGAUUAGAAUUUACUGGCAUCAUAGUAACUUUAAACCAUUGUGACGUUUUAGUAAUAACAGUCUGAGCUCUCCCUGAAGGAUUCAAAGCAUUUUAUUUUAUAUUAUACUCCUUUAUAUGGUUUGGCUGGUCUCUUUUAAGGCAAUUCCUGUUUAAAGUAAUCAAAAUUUUGAUUUCGAAGUGUCUUUCAACACUACCGCUAGUUCUUUAAGAAAAGUAAAUCGAUUUUGAGUCUUCUGUAUCAUCUGAUUGAAAUACAUGAAAGCACUCUUAGCUGCAAAAGUACACUUGGAGUUAUAAUAGCAUUCUGAAAUCUCCUUGAAGGAUUCAAAAGCUCUUUAUUUGCUAGUCUUUGCUUGCAAUAAACUCCUUUAAUAUAGAUUGGUUGAUCUUCUUUAAAGCAAUUACCAUAAGUUCUUUAAAUAAUAAAACGACUUUGAGUCUUAUGUAUCAUCUUGUUGAAAUACAUGAAAGCACUCUUGGCUGUAAAAAUGCACUUGGGGUUAUAUAUAAAGUCUUCAACAGAAUUUUAUUUCCCCCUUUAUCCUCAUGGUGGUCUUUUUAGUUGUUUUUUAAGAAAUCGCUUGAAGGUUCUCUUUAAAAAUAAUUUUAACAUAAGCAUUCUUUAGAAGCACUUUAGAUGUCUGGCAUUUAGAAAAUUUUGUUCCUGUGUUCACAUAAUAUAAUAUAUAUAUAUAGAAAGCUGACUGUAGAAUAGAGGAGAACGAGUUGGUGUUGGUCUGAACUCUGAUCUUUGAAUCUCAUGUGACUCCACUACUUUUUACUUGUUCUGUACAAGGUCUUUUAGCUUUUCAAAAAGUUUUAGCUUUAUGGAUAAAAUACUGUUAAUUGUAAUCUAUAAAUAAUGAAAGGAAUUAAUAAAAUAUUUGGUAAAUUUUAUUUUCUAAAGUGUUAUGAGUUCUAAAACGGCUGUAUGUAUAUAAAUUUAUUUACACAUAUAUUUAUAAAUAUGAUUAUAUAAUAAUAUUUUAUGUGUACAUAUCAUAAUUGAUAACUAAAAUAAAUAUUUUUAUUUUAUUAAUGGUUUUUCCGUCUCAAUGUAGUUGGUAAUAAUAAUCUCUUUAGAUGUAACGAUUUUAUUUCCUAACUGAAUAAGGAAAAUUUUAGAUUUUUAUAAUAAAUGUUAAAUAUAUAUAGAAUUACAUUAAGUAUGAAAUAAUCCUCAAAAUUAGAUUUGAAAAGUUAUUCUUUUCUUGCUUUUAAAAAUAUGUCAUAUGAUGAGAUAAUUUUACUAAAAGUGAUUUUUUUUUAAAAAAAUUACUAAACAUCAAAAUUAACUCUUAACUUUUUAAAAUCAUUUCUAAUCUUCUCAUCCUAAGUUCUUUAUUGUUUUGUACAAAAUCCAAGGUUUUGACUUUUAUAAAAUGCCCACUCAAAAAUAAAUUAUUUUCUAAUUAAGAUUUGUUGUUAAUGUAUAACUCGAAGUAAUAUUAGAUAUUUGUAAUUUUAUUUCAAAAAUUUUAUUCAAAUGAUAUGGCAAGCAAUGAACAAUAGUUGAUAGCAAUUUUUUUUUUUUAACAAUGUUCAAAUCAAUCAGUUGCAUUAUCUCACCAUUUUUAUGAUGUCAUGUUAUUUUAAAUGAUUUUUUUAAUUUUUAUAUAAAACAUACGACGUGUUAACAUCAUUUGCAUAACUUGACCUUUUUUUUUUUCCUACAAAUAGUGUUUAAAAUUCAACACACAGAUGUGCCUCUUUCUUACUAUACUGGAAUCCUCGGUAAACUUUUUGUUUGCGCAAUUUAUGUGAGCAAAUUGUGUCUUCUUUUUCAUAUGUAAAUGUUUUUGAUAUCUUGAUGUGAAGGUAGAAAAUUGCAUGUUUUGAGUUUUUGCAUAUUUGAUGGAAACACAGAACCGUACCUGAAUAUUUCAGAACCCCCUUUUCUUUGAAGUUUGAACACUUUUCUUGAAUGUAUCAACUUUAUUUAUGGGAUAUGUUGCCAAAUUGGCAAAUCUAUUCGUUAUAAAACUUUCCUUUGACAGUUUAAUCUAAGCAGAUGUUAAUUCUGCAAAUAGAGUGUGCCUUAGAUUAGUUUCAUAGAUUUGUCUCCUUCUGUACAGUAAAAACUUUGAGCAUUUUCGCCAUAUUCUGAUCAAUACACUCCAACUAGUUAGUUCUUGAGGCGUUUUAUGGUUUCGUGGAGUGAGGCAAGAUGUAUACGUUUGCAAAUUGGCAAUGUCUUUUGCUUGAUGGGUUGAGAGUUGUGAGUGUCAACAGGAAACAAGACCUCUGUUUUAUGAACUCCAAAAAGUUAUUCUGUUAGAAAGAUCGAGACAGAGGCCAUACUAUAUUUAUUAUUGCUAUAAAAGUGUGAAAAAAUAUUCUUUAUUUAAUAUUCUAAACGAUUGAGCCAUUUAGUUAUGAUAUUCUGCUGUAUUGGGGCUAAUAAUCUAAGUCGGUUCAAAGUGGUAAAUUUAUAAAUUGAUAGGUAUGCCUGGUAUGACCGCUUACGUUGGAUUUUAUGAGGUCUGCUCUCCUAAGCAUGGAGAGUGUGUCUUCAUAUCAGCAGCAUCUGGUGCAGUUGGUCAGCUUGUGGGGCAGUUUGCAAAGUUAUUGGGCUGCUAUGUCGUCGGAAGUGCUGGAAGCAAAGACAAGGUAGGUUAUCUGUGUGAAGUACUUGAUUGUUUCCGUGUUACUUUCAAACAUUUAAAUUAAAAAGGAAAUUUUCAUAAUCUUGCCUUUUCUAUGAUUUUCAAAACCAAGGUUGAUCUACUGAAGAACAAGUUUGGGUUCGACGAGGCAUUUAACUAUAAAGAAGAAGCUGAUUUGAAUGCAGCAUUGAAAAGGUUAGCAUCAAUAAAUGCCUUAGCUUGAUGCAGCUUGAUGAAGUAUGAUACACAUUUCUGACCAAUAUACUGCGUUCCCUGAUCUCUUACUUGAAAUAUCUUGGUUUGAGAAUCUCAUGCCAAUGCCUUUAACAUUUUGGCAGGUACUUUCCUGAAGGAAUUGAUAUAUAUUUUGAAAACGUUGGUGGAAAAACGCUUGAUGCAGUGCUACCCAACAUGAAAAUCCGUGGUCGAAUUGCUGCAUGCGGUAUGAUCUCACAGUACAAUCUUGACAAGCCUGAAGGUGUGCACAACUUGAUGUAUCUUGUUUCGAAACGGCUUCGAAUGGAAGGAUUCAUUGUUCUCGAUCACUAUCACCUCUAUCCAAAGUUUCUGGAAAUGAUCAUUCCUCACAUCAAAGAAGGGAAGCUUGUAUACGUCGAAGACAUGGCUGAAGGUCUUGAGAGUGCUCCGGCAGCUCUCAUCGGUCUAUUCUCUGGCCAGAAUGUUGGGAAACAGGUGGUUGCUGUUGCUCCUGAAUGAAGAACAAGUUAGUGUUGCAGUUUGAAUGAUGCUGCUGCACAACUGCUGCCGAAAAAAUCCUUAAUAGAUGAUUAGCAAGGUUUCAAAAAUAAAAAGAAAUGUUUGUGCAACGUGCCGAAUAUGACAGCCACAAAGAAAGAGCAUACAAAUUGAUUGGUUUUAUGUCUUCUCUAGGAGAAAGCUACAAUACAAGAAAUUGUAUUGAUGGAGCCAUGGACCAAAUUUCUUAUUUAAACUUUUAAUUUUUUUUAUUAAAAUUACUUAUGUUAUUAUGGUUUAUAUUUUUAGAAAUUCUUUAGAAAUUAAUACAGAACUAGUAGCAAGUUGAGAAAUCUACUGAAUAGUCGAGAUAUGAUCAUGUUUAUUGAAUUAAAUUGACAAUCAUCAUUUUGAUAAAUUAUUGUUAGGAUAUUUGAUUCAUCACAGGUGUAAGUAACUAAAUGUGCUAAAAAAAAAGUUAAUGAGUUGUGAGUGUUUGAUAUUCGUUUGUUGUAAUUCUUUUAAUAAUUGUUGUGGGAAAAAAAUUAUGGUAAAAAAAUUAUAAUUAUAAAAUAAAAAUUAAUAAUAUAUUAUAAAUAAAAUUUUUAAAUAAUAAUUUUAAUAAAAUAAUAAAUAUAUUAUGAAUUUUUCAUUAUAAAUUUUUAAGUUAAAAUAAUAAAUAUUUAUUAAAUAUUUUAAUAGCACAACUUUUAAAUUAUAACAGUACAAUGUAAAUACCAGAGGUCUUAAAAAAUAAAAUUACAGUCAAGUUUUAAAACUGUUAAUAAUGCUAUUCAUAAAGGCGCUCGUCGUGUAAACAACACAUGGGACCCAACCAAUAAAUGUUUAUGAUCCUCAACUUUCCUCCUCACCGUCCCUGCAAACAAUUCUGAUCUUCUUGUCUGAGAAAAAAACUGAGAAACAAUGGCGGCCGAACAAGAAGCUGUGAGCAAUAAGCGGGUGAUUCUAAGCAACUAUGUGACAGGUUUUCCAAAAGAAUCGGACAUGAAGAUAACAUGUGGAUCAAUAAAACUGGAGGUAGCAGACGGUUUAAAAGACACGGUGCUUUUGAAGAAUCUUUAUAUUUCUUGUGAUCCUUACAUGCGAGAGCGUAUGAGCAAGCUUGAUAGACCUUCUUUUGUUGAUUCAUUCCAUCCUGGUGAGGUUAGUUCAUCACGACCCAUCUCUUGAUUUUUUUUUUUUUUUCAUUUGCUUCAAGUUUUGAUGAGUUUCUGAGGUCAUUUGUACGGUUUUGGAAUGUGAACACUAUUAGUGAUUUUGGGGCUGUAACUGUCAUUAAUGAUAUGUAGUAAUUCAAUCAGAAUUUGGAUUUAGUGCUGAUAUGAUCUCUGCUCAUUUUUUAAAAUCUUGUGUCCAGAUGCAUUUUUAUAAUCUUGUACGGUUGAGAUUGUAUGUAGAUUAAUCUACGUGCAGUAUUCUUGUCUAAUGACUACUAACCACAACCUUAUGAGACGAUCGAAACCAAGCUCAGAUCAAUAAUCCAAUUGAGAGAGGGUCCUAACUCAAGCUUAUCGUGUGUAGGAAUAUUUCGGUUAAAUUGUAAUUCUUUUAAUAAUUGUUGUGAAAAAAAAAAGUUAUGAUAAAAAAAUUAAUAAUUAUAAAAUAAAAAUUAAUUAUAUAUAAUAAAUAAGAUUUUUAAAUAAUAAUUUUAAUAAAAUAUAAUAAAUACAUUAUCAAUUUUUCAUCGUUAAUUUUUAAGUCACAACCACAAAUAUUUACUAAACACUUUAACACCAUAAUUAACACCACAACUAUUGAAUUAUAACUGUACAAUCUAGACGCCAAGAGGCCUUAGUAUGAAAAAAAAAAAUUACAGUUAAGUUAAAAUUCAUCAUACAGAUGUGCCACUUUCAUACUAUACCGGGAUCCUCGGUAAUGAUUUUUGUUACACAAUAAGAUUUGCUUAUAGUAAUAUCAAUACAUAUGCUGCUUAAAUGCUUUCUGAUUUUUUGCCGGCCAUUGUCCAUUUUGCCAGGGAGUCUAUAAUUGAAGGAAUUUACUGAAGGAAUGCUGAUUGUUGGGAAUUUGAUUAUUCUAGGUAUGCCUGGUGUAACUGCAUACGCUGGUUUAUACGAAGUUUGCUUUCCGAAGAAAGGAGAGUAUGUCUAUGUAUCUGCAGCAUCUGGAGCUGUUGGUCAGCUUGUUGGACAGUUUGCAAAAUUAGCUCGUUGCUAUGUUGUUGGAAGUGCAGGAAGCAAAGAAAAUAUAGCACCGUGCCUUCUAGCAGAAUUUUACUUGCUUUAUGUUCCAACUAAGCAUCCAUAUUUGAUCAUGAUAAUUAGCAAGGUCAAUAAUUUUUUUUUGACUAUUUUUUCAACGUAAGGUCGAUUUGUUGAAGAACAAGUUUGAACGAUGCUUUUAACUACAAGGAAGAGCCUGAUUUUGAUGCAGCACUCAAAAGGUCAGCUGCAACAAACGUUUCAACUCUAAUAUUUCAUUUUAAUAUUACAGAGCUUUGGUUGAAGUGUGUGAGUUGAUCCCAGAAACGUAACUUCAUCAGUGUCUCUGUUUUCAAAAAACAUGACAAAUAGAAAUCUGAUUUUGCUUUAAAAUUUCCCAGAUGCUUCCCUCAAGGAAUCGACAUAUAUUUCGAAAAUGUUGGGGGAAAGAUGCUGGACGCAGUGCUACUCAACAUGAGGCUCCGGGGCCGCAUUGCAGUAAGCAGUAUGAUCUCACAGUAUAACCUGGAAAAACCCGAAGGCGUACACAACUUAGAGCAACUGAUCGGGAAACGGAUUCGCCUGGAAGGAUUUCUAGCUGGUGAUUACUAUCACCUCUAUCUGAAAUUCUUGGAACUGGUCAUUCCUCCAAUCAGAGAAGGAAAGAUGCUGUAUGUGGAAGACAUGGCCGAAGGACUCGAGAAAAUUUCUCGUAACUGCUACACAUUAAACGCGUUUCACAUUUCCACUCUCUUUCUAUAAAUAAAUACGCACAUAAAAUUUCUCACCAUCCAAAAACAAAAUCUACAUAAAAAAUGGCGGGUGAAGAAGCAGUGAGCAACAAGCAGGUGAUUCUGAGCAACUACGUGACAGGGUUUCCCAAGGAAUCAGACAUGAAGAUAAUAACAGGCUCAAUAAACCUUAAGGUGCCAGAGGGUUCAAAAGACACAAUGCUUUUGAAGAAUCUUUAUCUUUCCUGUGAUCCUUACAUGAGAGGACGUAUGAGCGAGCUUGAUAAGCCUUCGUUUGUUGCCUCAUUCGAGUCUGGCGAGGUCAGUUACUUCAAUUCCCAUCUCUUGGUUUCAUAAUCUUUUAUGGUUUUAGAAGGUGUUUUAGGGAAACAUUGUGGUUUUGGUUAGUGGGCAUGAGUCUUUGAAGAGAUUAUAAUGUGUAGGACUAUGCAUGCAAUAAUAAGCAUAGGGGAUCUUGUUAGGAGAAGAUUCUCUUAGCAAAAUAAAAACUUUUAUCUUAUCAAAACAUAUGCAGGGAACUUAGUUAUGAUGUCAUGUUAGCAUUGUCUCUGAGGAUUUGAUUUCUUGAUGGGGAAAGGGGAAUUUAAGGUUACAUUAUUCAGCAAUGGUUUUUUUUUUAAAUUAUGUUCAAAUUAUGCAGCCUUUAAGCGGAUAUGGAGUGUCCAAAGUGUUGGAUUCCACGCCUCCAAAUUAUAAGAAAGAUGACUUGGGUGGUGUUUGUUUUUUAACUUAAUGACUUAAAGUGACUUAACUUAAUUAAUUAAGUUAAUUAGAGAUGUUUGUUUUUAUAACUUAAUGUGACUUUUUAAAUAAUUUUGACUUAAUAAAAUAAGCCAAUUUUAUUUACUUUUUACUUAAUAGAGACAUCUGAAUUAAGUCAAGUACUUUCUAAUGUCAAAAAUAUACAUGCUUUAUAAUUUAUUUUUCAUGUCUAUCCCAAAACUCACCCAUAGACAUUUACCCCACAUAAUAAUCUCAUCAUUAUUUUUUUAGCCGUCAUGAAAUCCCUCCUCACUUUGGUAUCAACUCCUCAACUAUUGAAGAUCAAAAUUACAUGCGACAACUUCGAGAUGAAUGGCAAAUCAACUGUUUCAAGCAUCUUAUUAGUUUUUUUUCUUUUUUAUAUUAUAUACGAUAAAAUUUGAAAUUUAUGGUAUUUUAUAUAUUAAAAUUCCAAAAUCAUUAUAUAUUCACUUGAAUAUAGUUUUACUUAUAAAUGUUAAAAUAUUGUGAUAUUUAAUAUAUUGUUUAUUUGACAUUCAAAUUUAAUAAGGAUACAAAUGUAAAAGUACAUAUUUUUCAGUUUUUUAAGUUGAAAAAAGAAAACAACUUAAUAAUUAUUUUUCGAGAUUCAGACGAAAAAACAAACAUAUUAUUCAGAUUCAGACAUUCAGAUCUAUUCAGAAUUUAGACUAAUUCAAGUCUAUUCAGAUUUCAGAUAAAAAAACAAACGCCACCUUGGUCCGGGGCUUAACCAGUUGGGAGGAGUUCAGUCUCAUCCAAUCACCACAACUUCUGAUUAAAAUUCUGGAUACAAGUGUGCCUCUGCCAUAAUUAAUUGACAGGUUGCUAUGUUGUUGGAAGUGCCGGAAGCAAAGAAAAGGUGAGUUUGCACCCUUAACCCUUACGCUCUAAAUAAAAACAUAACACCUUCUGAAAGAAUUGUGCAUAGAGAAUUUUGCAUGUCACAUUAUUUGUGUUCUAACUAAUCAUGGAUAUUUGAUCAUUAGUCUAACUAAAACUGACAUAUUACCACCUAGUUGACUGGUCUUUGAGAAAUGUUAGUUGAUAUAUGCUUGAAAUCAUACUUUGUUUUAUUAGAUGAUUAUAUUAACCUGCUUCUUUUUCUUUGUGCUGUUUCUCGUUUGAUUACAUUUUCAACAUUAGGUCGAUCUAUUGAAGCACAAGUUUGGGUUUGAUGAUGCCUUUAACUAUAAGGAAGAGCCUGACUUGGAUGCAGCUCUUAAUAGGUUAGCACGAAUGAAUGCUUUAACCAUUUUUCUCACUUCAUUAUUACAAUGCGCUGAUUGAAGUAAUCAGUGUUGGCUCUGAAAAUGUAACGUAUACUUCUCUGUUUUCAUAAAACAGGACAAACAGUGAUCAGUGAUCUCAUUCGUUACAUUGAUAUUUUCUACCAUUGCCAUACAUAGUAUAAACUAGGAAUUCAGUUGCUUAAUAGAUAUUCAUUUCAGAGGGAAAUUUUCACUUGCAGCUAACAGAAUCAUGUUUGUGAUGUAUGUUUAUUUGGGAAAUGAAAGGAUUUGUUGCAUUAUUUUAUUCCAAGUUUGCUGAAAUCAUAUUUGUUUUCCCAGGUGCUUUCCUGAAGUUAUCGACAUCUAUUUCGAAAAUUUUGGGGGUAAGAUGCUUGAUGCAGUGCUACUCAACAUGAGAAUUUGUGGCCGCAUCGCUGUAUGCGGAAUGAUCUCACAGUACAACUUUGAGAAGCCUGAAGGUGUACACAACUUGAUGCAAGUAAUUGGAAAACGAAUUCGCAUGGAAGGAUUUCUUGCCAGUGAUUUCUACCACCAAUAUCCAAAAUUCUUGGAACUGGUUAUGCCGGCAAUCAAAGAAGGAAAGUUAGUAUAUGUCGAGGACAUAGCUGAAGGCCUCGAGAAAGCUCCAUCAGCCCUAGUUGGGAUAUUCACAGGUCAAAAUGUUAAAAAACAACUGGUUGUAGUUGCUCGGGAAUGAUAUGAUUACUAUAUGCUUUAAAAAGUGGACUUUGCCAUGCACUUUAAAACCUUAGUGAAGAUGCCUUUGUCUUAUUUUUGAUACAUGUUAUGUUUGUUUGAUCAAGUUGUACUCAGCUAUAAAUCAAAGAUUCAGAACAUGUGUAUGAUACUGGUUUCUAAAUCAAUGAACGCCUUGAAAUGUUAGUGUUUUCACAGGAGAAUGCAAUUUAAUUCAUCAACAAUGUCCCAACAAGACCCUCAGAGCUGUAGCUUGUAAAGUUAAUUACGAUAUUUUUUUGUAAAGUAAAUUACCAUAUUUUUUUCUUUCCAAUAUAUUGCUUAUUUCAUAGAAAGUUUACAUUAAAGUCUCAUGUUUCUUUGAAAGGUAAGCAAGUGUGAACGUUUCAAUCUAGAGAUGGAAAAUGCAUUUCCGGGAACUUACUUGAUAAAUGAAGUUUUCAUCUCUGACCUUGAUGUUUCCCACAGGUGCAUUCAUUUCAGCUGAUCUAUAUAAUUUUGUUUUCGAAGGAGAGACACAAAAUCUCCGUUGUUAAGGGGAGAAUUUAGAGUGGCUUUGACUGUUAACAAAUAGCCUAAUGUAAGACUUAACCAACUUCCUGCCCUGUUGUAUGCUUAUGAAUUUUGAUAGAGCUAAGAGUUUGCAGAAGCUAUUGUAUUAUAUGUCGUUAGAGGCUGUAAACAUCAAACACAUUUAAAUUUCAAUGAAAAUUUACUGGAAGUAAAUUUCCUUUGAUCCCACAGGUGACUAAUUAAUGAGAACUUGACAAUGACAAAAGAAAGUGUAUGAACUUUGCAGGCUGGCAUGCCAAUAUUGACUGGGUGGCACCAUCCACCAUCUGCAAGUGAAUAUCAUUGUUGUUUAAUCAACAAGGUGGAGUCCACUGGGACCACACCACAUCGUCAGCCUUAUCUCUAUUCCUCAAUUUUCAGUAUUCCAUACAUCAAAACAAUUUCAGUUUUGUUAUCAAUUAUAAUUUCAUUGUUGGUGACGAUUCUGAUUCCUUUCUUUCUGACAAAACGGAACCAUGGUUGCUGUGGGAGAGAUCUUACUCAACGCCUUCUUUCAGGUGUUGUUUGACAGGUUGGCUUCCCGUGAUUUGCUCAGCUUUGUCCGUCAACUUGGAGGCGGGGUCGAUUCCGAGCUCAAGAAGUGGCAAAGAAAGCUGAAGAUGAUUCAGGCGGUGCUCAACGAUGCAGAGGAGAAGCAACUGACUGACGAGGCUGUGAAGAUGUGGCUGGACGAUCUCCAAGACUUGGCUUAUGACGCUGAGGACAUUCUUGAUGAGUUUGCUACUCAAGCUUUGGAAAGCAAGUUGAUGGCGCAAAAUCAGGAUAGCUCUGGCCAGCUUCUCAGUUUCAUCCCGGCUAGUUUGAAUCCGAAUGCUGUUAGGUUCAAUUAUAGCAUGAGGUCCAAGAUUAACGAUAUUACUAGCCGGUUGGAGCAACUCUGCAAAUAUAGAAUUGAACUUGGGCUGCAACGGAUUCCUGAAGGGGCAUCAUCAACUGCUGCUGCUGCACACCAGAGGCCACCCAGUUCAAGCGUCCCACCAGAACGUGAAGUUUUUGGUAGAGAAGAAGAUAAGGCCAAAAUUCUUGAUAUGGUAUUGGCCGAUAGCCCAAGUGAUCAUGCCGACUUUGCUGUAAUACCCAUUGUUGGCAUGGGCGGGAUAGGAAAAACAACUCUCGCUCGGGAGGUCUACAAUGACAAGGCCGUUGAACAUUCCAAGUUUGAUGUAAAAGCAUGGGUUUGUGUAUCUGAUGUCUUUGACGUUUUGGGCAUCUCAAAGGCGCUUCUCGAGUCAAUCACCCGCAGGCCAUGUCUUCUAAACAGUUUAAACGAAGUGCAGGUUGAAUUGAAAGUAGCUGUGGAUAAAAAAAGAUUCUUGCUGGUCUUAGAUGAUGUUUGGAACGAGGACUACAGCUUGUGGGUAGACUUAAAAGCUCCGUUCCUGGGUGCUGCACCAAACAGCAAGAUGAUCGUCACCACACGCAAUUCAAGUGUUGCAUCAACAAUGAGACCCAUUGAUCGUCACCACACGCAAUUCAAGUAUUACGAUCUCAAGAGUCUGUUAGAUGAUGAUUGCUGGUCCAUUUUCAUAAACCAUGCAUUUGAAUCUACAGACCUUAGCGCACAUCGAAUUUCAGAAUCAUUCCGCGAGAAAGUUGUUGGCAAGUGUGGGGGCUUGCCUCUGGCAGCAAAAACACUCGGGGGCCUUCUUCGUACUAAAACGCAUGCUGAGUGGGACGGUAUAUUGGAUAGCAAAAUAUGGGAUUUACCUCGGCAAAGCAGCAUUCUCCCCGUGUUAAGAUUGAGUUACCAUCAUCUUCCUUCUCAUUUGAAAAGAUGUUUUGCUUUUUGUGCCAUCUUUCCAAAAGAUUAUGCAUUCACUGAGAGGGAGCUGACUUUCUUAUGGAUGGCUGGAGGUAUUAUUCGACAGUCAAGAAACAAUGAGCAGCUGGAAGAUUUGGGCAGCAAGUGCUUUGGUGAUCUAGUGUCGAGGUCAAUUUUUCAACAAACAGCAAUCUCUGAUAGUUCUAAAUUUGUAAUGCAUACUUGAAAUUUCUGUCUUCAAUAUUUUGAUGCUUUCUUAUCCCAUGCACAAAAGUACUAGAAAAAACUAAUAACAGCUAACCGAAAAUCCCAGGCGUCAUAUUCCUUUUUACCGCGUUUUAAAAUGCACAACAAUGAUAUUCUUACAAAUUUGCAAAAUUUGUCAAUUUCUUAGAUUUCAGAUAUUUUAAUGCUUUUUUUAAUUUUUGAUCUAGUAAAAAUACACAGCCUUCACCGGCAGGAUUCUAGUCUUGGCUUUCACCUCUCUAACUCAUCUGUUCCCAUUGGGAUUCCAGAAAUUGAAAUUUCUGUCUUCAAUGGGUUUUCAAAGCCUCGCCUCUCUUCGAUUUUUGUGGAUCGGGAAUUGCACAAAUCUCACAUCAUUUCCCGAGGUCGAGGAAAAGAGCGGCCCAAACUUGCUCGCAUCCCUUAUUAGGUUAUGAUAGAUGGAAAAUUCAUAUACGAUCCAGAGUCAGAGGUGUUGAUUCUCUUAUUAAGGUCAGCUGAUUUCUAUUAUCCACUCUGACAAUCUCCUAUUCGUGUUUUUCCUUUUUAAAUUUUUUUUCCAAAAUUUUGCAGUUCCGUAUAUUGGUGUUUGUUAAGGUAAUUAGUGCUCCCUCAAUAUUGCAUUUUAGACUGCCAAAUGUAGCAGUAAUUUUAAUACAAUUUUGUUGGUGCCUUGUGUUCCAGAAGCUAGAAAAAUGUGUAGUUUUCAGAUAAGGAGGCUUGUCAGUUCUCUAGUAAGAAUCCAAUGAUUUGCUUUUGCACGUCCAUCUAAUUUGUGGAUCCUUGCAUCAGAAUUUGAUCAAUCCAAAAGGAAUUGCUUUUAGACAGAAGAAGAAUAGCAGCACCUAGCCUACCCGCAAACCUGAAACUAUUAGAUUGAGGUAAAAAAAUCAUUGACCCUCACAUGUUAACUUCUUCUAGUUACUUUCAUUGGGGAAAAAAAAACAUUUAAGGAAUUUGCAAUUUGUUGUUAGUUAUGGUAUCUGAUGUUCUUUUCUGCUUUAGCGUUUGUAGAACCUACUGUAUUAUGUGUUGGCAGUUGCCGUAUCUGAGGUAACUUGCCUUUAUUUGUUUGCUUCUGAGUUAAGGACACCAACAUUUGCCAGAGAUUUAGAGAAUCAUCUCAAAACACUUAGCAAACUUGACAAACUUCAAGAUGCACUUGCCCCCACGCCUUAUUCUCAACAACGCAAAACUUGUGAGUACACCUAUGCCUGCAAUUAUUGUGAAGUGUUCGCAAUUCUGAUGCAGAGAAAUGGUUUCUUGAUGCAAAGUAUUAAACUGUUAAGAUUUAUCCUGCAGGCUUGUUAGAUGUUGUAUACUCGAAAAGCCAACAACAUCAAGAACUACAACUCCAAGACCAACUUUGCGUUAAUUCAGUCAGCUGUAAAAAUGAUGCAAAUGACACUAUAUCAAGCUGGACUUAGAGACUAGUCAGAUCAAUCAUCCAUUUCAUCAACGGUUAAUGUCAUGAUGGUGGCUAUCAGAGGAAACAAAAGAUGUGUCAGAAUCUAUACGAACAUUGAGAAGCAUGAGAGGAGCUUUGAUUUUGAGUAGGGUCAAUGAACUCAUGUUGGUAAGUGGUGAUUAAAGAAAUUUGUAAGCUUAGUAGAGUUUCAGUAUUUUCUGUUUGGAGUAUAGUUGAUAAGUUGACUCUGUUUAAGAAGCCCGAUUAUAGUAGCUGACUGUAUUAACCUUUUUUUUUUUGGUCUGCUGUUGUUUUUGGUUUCGAUUAUUUUUUCAACAUUGGGUUGAUCUGUUGAAGAACAAGCUUGGGUUUGAUUAUGUUUUAACUAUAAGGAAGAGCCAGACUUGGUUGCAGGCGUUAAGCUUUUAAUGGGUAAGAACAAAUGAAUGCUUUAACCAUGUUUCUCACUUAUUAAAAUGCAUGGAUUGAAGGCAUCUGGGUUGAUCCUGACAAUGUGAUGGAAAUACUUCUCUGUUUUCAUGUAACAGGACAAAUAGAGAUCUCUGAUCAUGCCUGAAUUUUUGUUGCAUUGAAAUUUCUACCAUUACCAAACAUAGAAUGAACUGGGGAUACAUUAGCUUAAGACUCAAUUUUGAGAAGGAAGUUUGUACUUGCAGCCUAUAAAAUCAUGUCCGUGUCGUACGUUUCUUUGGGAAAUGAAAGAUUCUGUGUGUUCUUUUAUUUCAAGUUCACUGAAAUCACAUUUGUUUUCUCCGAUGCUUUCCAGAAGGUAACAACAUCAAUUUCAAAAAUGCUGGGGCAAGAUGCAUCAUGCAGUGCGACUCAACUUGAGAAUUCCUGGCCACAUUACCCGUAUGUCGAAUGAUCGCACAGUUCAACCUUGAGAAGCUUGUAAUGAGUACACAACUGGGUGCAAGUAGUUUUGAAAUGAAUUUGCCUCAAAUGAUUUCUUGCUCGCAUCCCUUGGGUUAUGAUAGAUGGAAAAUUCAUAUACGAUCCAGAGUCAGAGGUGUUGAUUCUCUUAUUA